rnacentral:rRNA from 1 species
GACGAACGCUGGCGGCGUGCUUAACACAUGCAAGUCGAGCGGAGCGGCGAACGGGUGAGUAACGCGGGAGUAACUGCCCCCCUCUCUGGGAUAACAGUUGGAAACGGCUGCUAAUACCGGAUAGUGGGGGAUGACUCGCGUCCUAUCAGCUUGUUGGUGGGGUAGUGGCCUACCAAGGGGACGACGGGUAGCCGGCCUGAGAGGGCGACCGGCCACAGUGGCCUGAGCUACGGCCCAAACUCCUACGGGAGGCAGCAGUGGGGACUAUUGCCCAAUGGGGGCAACUCUGGUGCAGCAACGCCGCGUGCGGGAUGACGGCCUUCGGGUUGUAAACCGCUUUCAGCCAUGACGCGGUAGUGGCUGAAGAAGCACCGGCUAACUACGUGCCAGCAGCCGCGGUAAUUC